rnacentral:rRNA from 1 species
GGAAUCUUGCGCAAUGGGGGAAACCCUGACGCAGCAACGCCGCGUGAGUGAGGAAGGUUUUCGAAUCGUAAAGCUCUGUCAGGUGGAAAGAAAUGUAUGAAAGUUAAUAGCUUCCAUGCUUGACGGUACCACCAGAGGAAGCACCGGCUAACUCCGUGCCAGCAGCCGCGGUAAUACGGGGGGUGCAAGCGUUGUUCGGAAUCAUUGGGCGUAAAGAGCGUGUAGGCGGCUUGAUAAGUCAGAUGUGAAAGCCCUGGGCUUAACCCAGGAAGUGCAGUUGAUACUGGCUUGCUUGAGUAAGGGAGAGGAAAGCGGAAUUCCUGGUGUAGAGGUGAAAUUCGUAGAUAUCAGGAGGAACACCGGUGGCGAAGGCGGCUUUCUGGCCCUAUACUGACGCUGAGACGCGAGAGCGUGGG